AUAUAUAGUAAAACACCUAUAUACCAUGGAUAAAAACGGGUCAAAUCCAAGGUAUAUCAACCCCCAAUCAUCUUGUUAGUCGAGCAAUAGACUUGCUCAUUUAGGAUUACUAUUUACUUUAAAACCAAUAAACAACAAAACCUUAGAAUUAAUAAUCAUCUAGAUUUAAUAGAUUCUCUAGCUCCUUGUUGAUUCGAUCACUAAGUACUACAAUUGAACCUCUUAUUUGAGAGAGUAAUACACUUCUUAGGGUAAUUUGAGUGGUAUCACUUAUCAAUUGGUGCGUGAGCUCGGUG
rnacentral:lncRNA from 1 species